rnacentral:siRNA from 1 species
AGAGCUUGUAGAUUUUGUGUUUCC